UUGUUGUUAUUGUUUUAGAAACAGUCUUGUUGCAACUGACUGUGUUGAAUUUAACUUAAGUAUUAACUUUUCUUGUGUUUGCAGGGCACUAUCAUCAAAGAUUCAGUCUGGUUUUCUUGCCAGUGCAUACUGUGAUGUCAUUUCUGGAGAUAAAAUCGAUGGCAAUUGCACAGAAGUUAAAGUCCAUGUUUCUGAGGUGGCACUGCUCACUUUUUCAUUAGUAACUCUGCUGAGGACCUGUUUAUUGCUGAAUCAGUUAUAAAAUUCAAAUAUACUAAAGGCACUGGUAAAAUUUGGUUAAAAGAACAGCUCAACAUUAAUUGAUGAGGCAGUGAAGAGACUUGUAUGUCAAAACCAAUACGAAUGUGCCAGAAAUCCUACAAAGGGAAAGAUAGAGUGCUGGUGUGGAGGAAGACAGAAGAAAAGAAAGAAUGAAAAAGGGAAAAAUCAUAAGAAAUAUGCAGCAGAAUUGGGAAAUUCUAGUAAGGAACCUGUCUGCCUUAUUCAUCAUGCUAUUCCUCAUAUCCUUAGGGCCUGGCAAUAUGACCAGAAAACAAAAUUAAAUAAAUAAAUGAAAGAAAGAAAAAAGG